AAGGUUUCCAUACAUGAUUACUACCCCUGGCAUAUGGGGGUUGUUGUAUUGGGUGUGCUGCCACACCCAAUGUCACCAAAUUUCAAGCAGGGGUAUUACAAAAGUUUUCUAUUAAAAUUUGUGAUUAAAUUAAUGAGUAAGGUUAAUACUUAUAACGAAUUUGCCAUUUUCAAUGAUAUAGAUAGUUUUUUAGGGUACAUCCAGAUCUUAUGCAUAUACCUUGGGAAAGGUGGAAGUCCUAGGAUAAUAAAGAGAGGUUAAGUGUUGAAAAGAGGGUCAGAUAGGUCCAAUGACAUCCUUAGUUACACUGGAAGCAGUGUUCAGUCAACAGAAGAGAUCCUGUUCCACACUGCAGCUUAGUACCUUUAAA